rnacentral:rRNA from 1 species
GAGUUUGAUCGUGGCUCAGGACGAACGCUGGCGGCGUGCUUAACACAUGCAAGUCGAGCGGGGUCCAUCCUUUCGCAAGAAAGGUGAAGACCUAGCGGCGAACGGGUGAGUAACACGUGAGGAACCUGCCCCGAAGACUGGGAUAACACCGGGAAACCGGUGCUAAUACCGGAUGCCCUCAGAGAGUCGCAUGGCUCAUUGAGGAAAUGGAUUCCGCUUCGGGAGGGCCUCGCGGCCUAUCAGCUUGUUGGUGGGGUAACGGCCUACCAAGGCUCCGACGGGUAGCUGGUCUGAGAGGACGACCAGCCACACUGGGACUGAGACACGGCCCAGACUCCUACGGGAGGCAGCAGUGGGGAAUCUUGCGCAAUGGGCGAAAGCCUGACGCAGCAACGCCGCGUGGGGGACGAAGGCC